UGCACAGAAGGUGUCACCACUGUUUUGCACGGUGCAGUAUUCCCCUGAGCUGCUGUAGGUCUGCAAAGGUGCUACUUCUGAGUGCAGGGAGAGUGAGCCCACCUGCCCUGAAAGCAGCUACAUGAGGAUCUCCUAGUUUGUGUGUUGCUUGCUGAUUAAAAAACAUACUUCUGUUUCCUGCUGACUUCUUCAUUUGUGCCACUGCAGUUCCCAGCCACAGAACCCUCACUGCACCAAGUACAGCAUUCCUGGGUCACUGCAGGCUGUGCUGGCAGACAUUUGCCUUGGAAGGCUGACAGUUUGCCUGAAACAUCCAUGUUACAAAUGGGAUGCUCACCUGAACCUCGGAGGUUAUUUUUGGAAAUACCUCACCUCCGCUGCAACUUCUGCACUCCUCCAUGCAUCUUGCUCCUCCUUGUAUAAUAAAAGUCAUUCAGCUUUUUGUUUGGUAAGAAAGUGCACAGGUCCCAAAAGCUUCUUCAAGAAAAACACCUGGAGAUUGCACUUCUUAGUUUGCUGCAGAUUAGAUAGCCUUCACAUGCAGAAACAUUUCUAAAAUAACUUACUAUUUAAAAGAAAGCAUCUGAGACUGUUCAGUUAGGGGAAAUAUGUAACUUACUUUCAGAUCCAAUAAAAGUUUGUUCUUUAGGGACUGUGACA
rnacentral:lncRNA from 1 species